GUGCCUUGAUCUCCAUCUCUUCUGGAAGGAGGUAACAGCAAGCUUCUCGGCCCCCUGACUCUGAAGGAAUAGUGAAGUCUGUGGAUAUGAUGGAUUGGAAACAGCUGAAGAGGGCUGUUGGCCCUGGGUGCCCCUCCUGGUCUGGCAUGGAGCUCUCUGUCCGUCCAUGGGGGAGCAGUGGCUGGUCACCCUGCCCACUAAGCCCCUUCUGCUCCAUGGUGCAGGCCUACUUGAGUCCUUCUAUCUCUUAAGGGCUGUCCUCGUCCCUGUUCCCCUGCUUGGGCUCCAGGAGAAACUGGAAUUCAUGUUCACAAGGACGCCAGCCUGUGGGUGAUGUGUCCUCAGAUCCAGUCCUCGCCCUGCCCAUGUCCAUUA
rnacentral:lncRNA from 1 species